GACGAACCGUGCGAACGUUGUUCGGAUUCACUGGGCUUAAAGGGCGCGUAGGCGGACGGUCAAGUCGGGGGUGAAAUCUUUCAGCUUAACUGGAAAAGUGCCUCCGAUACUGAUCGUCUCGAGGGAGGUAGGGGCAUGUGGAACUUCCGGUGGAGCGGUGAAAUGCAUUGAGAUCGGAAAGAACACCAACGGCGAAAGCACUCUGCUGGGCCGACACUGACACUGAGAGACGAGAGCUAGGGGAGCAAAUGGG
rnacentral:rRNA from 1 species